CUUAGCGGCGGACGGGUGAGUAAUGCUUAGGAAUCUGCCUAUUAGUGGGGGACAACAUUUCGAAAGGAAUGCUAAUACCGCAUACGUCCUACGGGAGAAAGCAGGGGAUCUUCGGACCUUGCGCUAAUAGAUGAGCCUAAGUCGGAUUAGCUAGUUGGUGGGGUAAAGGCCUACCAAGGCGACGAUCUGUAGCGGGUCUGAGAGGAUGAUCCGCCACACUGGGACUGAGACACGGCCCAGACUCCUACGGGAGGCAGCAGUGGGGAAUAUUGGACAAUGGGCGGAAGCCUGAUCCAGCCAUGCCGCGUGUGUGAAGAAGGCCUUAUGGUUGUAAAGCACUUUAAGCGAGGAGGAGGCUACUUUAGUUAAUACCUAGAGAUAGUGGACGUUACUCGCAGAAUAAGCACCGGCUAACUCUGUGCCAGCAGCCGCGGUAAUACAGAGGGUGCAAGCGUUAAUCGGAUUUACUGGGCGUAAAGCGCGCGUAGGCGGCUAAAUUAAGUCAAAUGUGAAAUCCCCGAGCUUAACUUGGGAAUUGCAUUCGAUACUGGUUAGCUAGAGUGUGGGAGAGGAUGGUAGAAUUCCAGGUGUAGCGGUGAAAUGCGUAGAGAUCUGGAGGAAUACCGAUGGCGAAGGCAGCCAUCUGGCCUAACACUGACGCUGAGGUGCGAAAGCAUGGGGAGCAAACAGGAUUAGAUACCCUGGUAGUCCAUGCCGUAAACGAUGUCUACUAGCCGUUGGGGCCUUUGAGGCUUUAGUGGCGCAGCUAACGCGAUAAGUAGACCGCCUGGGGAGUACGGUCGCAAGACUAAAACUCAAAUGAAUUGACGGGGGCCCGCACAAGCGGUGGAGCAUGUGGUUUAAUUCGAUGCAACGCGAAGAACCUUACCUGGCCUUGACAUAGUAAGAACUUUCCAGAGAUGGAUUGGUGCCUUCGGGAACUUACAUACAGGUGCUGCAUGGCUGUCGUCAGCUCGUGUCGUGAGAUGUUGGGUUAAGUCCCGCAACGAGCGCAACCCUUUUCCUUAUUUGCCAGCGAGUAAUGUCGGGAACUUUAAGGAUACUGCCAGUGACAAACUGGAGGAAGGCGGGGACGACGUCAAGUCAUCAUGGCCCUUACGGCCAGGGCUACACACGUGCUACAAUGGUCGGUACAAAGGGUUGCUACCUAGCGAUAGGAUGCUAAUCUCAAAAAGCCGAUCGUAGUCCGGAUUGGAGUCUGCAACUCGACUCCAUGAAGUCGGAAUCGCUAGUAAUC
rnacentral:rRNA from 1 species